rnacentral:rRNA from 1 species
GAGGCAGCAGUGGGGAAUAUUGCGCAAUGGGGGAAACCCUGACGCAGCGACGCCGCGUGGAGGAUGAAGGUCUUCGGGUUGUAAACUCCUUUUCUCAGGGAAAAUGAUGAUGGUACCUGAGGAAUAAGCCACGGCUAACUCUGUGCCAGCAGCCGCGGUAAGACAGAGGUGGCGAGCGUUGUUCGGAAUUACUGGGCUUAAAGGGCGAGUAGGCGGUAGAGCAAGUCUAAGGUGGAAUCCUAUGGCUUAACCAUAGAAUUGCCUUAGAAACUGUUUUACUUGAGUCAGUGAGGGGAGGGCGGAAUUCCUGGUGUAGCGGUGAAAUGCGUAGAUAUCAGGAGGAAGGCCUGUGGCGAAGGCGGCCCUCUGGCACUGCACUGACGCUGAGGCGCGAAAGCGUGGGUAGCAAACAGGAUUAGAUACCCUGGUAGUCCACGCCCUAAACGGUGGGCAUUAGGUGUAGGGCUCGUAAGGGUUCUGUGCCGAAGGGAAACCAUUAAAUGCCCCGCCUGGGGAGUACGGCCGCAAGGUUGAAACUUAAAUGAAUUGACG